UUAUCUGCCCAGUGAUAAUUUUAAACGGCCGCAGUACCUUGACUGUGCAAAGGUAGCAUAAUCAUUUGACUUUUAAAUGGAGCCUAGAAUGAAAGAAAGAACGUAGACAACUUGUCUCAUUAAUAAUACCUUAAAAUUACCUCAUGAGUGAAAAUACUCUUGAAUUUAAUAUUAGACGAGAAGACCCUUAGAAUUUUAAUUAAAUAUAAGUCAAUCUUGUAAAUUUUUUUGUUGGGGCAACAGUAUUUCAUAGCGAAUAAAUAUUUCCUUGGCAGAUUAAUCGAUUUUAAUAAUUAUAGAGAAAUUACCUAAGGGAUAACAGCAUAAUUUUAAUAAUAAGCUUGUGACCUCGAUGUUGGACUAGGUACUAUUAGGGCUAAUCGUUUUAA
rnacentral:rRNA from 1 species